UAUCCGUGUCGGGAAUCGAACCCGAGUCUGUUCCGUUCCGUUCCGUUUUCUUUUUCCAGCUUGGCAGGGAACUGUGCUACCACUAUACCACACGGAU
rnacentral:tRNA from 1 species